GGAUCCUUCUAAGCAGUACACUGUUGCUGAAUUUUCCAUGGAGGGUUUCGAUGACCGAACGGGGGUGAGGCGAAUUGAGAAUGCUAAGAACAAAUUAACUUUGUCCAAUUCUUGUUGGGAAAGUGCUUACAGGCAUCUAUUUGCGGGCUGGUCUGAGAUUUUUGCUGCGGAUGAGAAACGGUCGAGAUUUGCUUGGCAUCUUAGUGAU
rnacentral:misc_RNA from 1 species